rnacentral:rRNA from 1 species
AGUCGAGGGGCACAUGCCGGUUGCUUGCAACCGGUGAUGGCGACCGGCGCACGGGUGAGUAACGCGUAUCCAACCUUCCCGCGACCAAGGGAUAACCUGCCGAAAGGCAGACUAAUACCUUAUGUCCUCCUUUGAAGGCAUCUGACGAGGAGCAAAGAUCCGUCGGUCACGGAUGGGGAUGCGUCCGAUUAGCUUGUUGGCGGGGCAACGGCCCACCAAGGCUUCGAUCGGUAGGGGUUCUGAGAGGAAGGCCCCCCACACUGGAACUGAGACACGGUCCAGACUCCUACGGGAGGCAGCAGUGAGGAAUAUUGGUCAAUGGGCGGAAGCCUGAACCAGCCAAGUAGCGUGCAGGACGACGGCCCUACGGGUUGUAAACUGCUUUUAUGCGGGGAUAAAGUUGCCCACGCGUGGGCUUUUGCAGGUACCGCAUGAAUAAGGACCGGCUAAUUCCGUGCCAGCAGCCGCGGUAAUACGGAAGGUCCGGGCGUUAUCCGGAUUUAUUGGGUUUAAAGGGAGCGCAGGCCGCCGUGCAAGCGUGCCGUGAAAAGCAGCGGCCCAACCGCUGCCCUGCGGCGCGAACUGCCUGGCUUGAGUGCGCCGGAAGCGGGCGGAAUUCGUGGUGUAGCGGUGAAAUGCUUAGAUAUCACGAAGAACCCCGAUUGCGAAGGCAGCCCGCUGUGGCGCCACUGACGCUGAGGCUCGAAGGUGCGGGUAUCGAACAGGAUUAGAUACCCUGGUAGUCCGCACGGUAAACGAUGGAUACCCGCUGUCCGGCCCGUACGGUCUGGGCGGCCAAGCGAAAGCGUUAAGUAUCCCACCUGGGGAGUACGCCGGCAACGGUGAAACUCAAAGGAAUUGACGGGG